rnacentral:rRNA from 1 species
UCGAGCGAAUGGAUUAAGAGCUUGCUCUUAUGAAGUUAGCGGCGGACGGGUGAGUAACACGUGGGUAACCUGCCCAUAAGACUGGGAUAACUCCGGGAAACCGGGGCUAAUACCGGAUAACAUUUUGAACCGCAUGGUUCGAAAUUGAAAGGCGGCUUCGGCUGUCACUUAUGGAUGGACCCGCGUCGCAUUAGCUAGUUGGUGAGGUAACGGCUCACCAAGGCAACGAUGCGUAGCCGACCUGAGAGGGUGAUCGGCCACACUGGGACUGAGACACGGCCCAGACUCCUACGGGAGGCAGCAGUAGGGAAUCUUCCGCAAUGGACGAAAGUCUGACGGAGCAACGCCGCGUGAGUGAUGAAGGCUUUCGGGUCGUAAAACUCUGUUGUUAGGGAAGAACAAGUGCUAGUUGAAUAAGCUGGCACCUUGACGGUACCUAACCAGAAAGCCACGGCUAACUACGUGCCAGCAGCCGCGGUAAUACGUAGGUGGCAAGCGUUAUCCGGAAUUAUUGGGCGUAAAGCGCGCGCAGGUGGUUUCUUAAGUCUGAUGUGAAAGCCCACGGCUCAACCGUGGAGGG